rnacentral:rRNA from 1 species
AUUGGACGCUGGCGGCAGGCCUAACACAUGCAAGUCGAGCGGGGUUUUCGGACCUAGCGGCGGACGGGUGAGUAAUGCGUAGGAAGCUACCCGAUAGAGGGGGAUACCAGUUGGAAACGACUGUUAAUACCGCAUAAUGUCUACGGACCAAAGUGUGGGACCUUCGGGCCACAUGCUAUCGGAUGCGCCCACGUGGGAUUAGCUAGUUGGUGAGGUAAUGGCUCACCAAGGCGACGAUCCCUAGCUGGUUUGAGAGGAGGAUCAGCCACACUGGAACUGAGACACGGUCCAGACUCCUACGGGAGGCAGCAGUGGGGAAUAUUGGACAAUGGGCGCAAGCCUGAUGCAGCAACGCCGCGUGGGGGAUGACGGCCUUCGGGUUGUAAACCUCUUUUAGUAGGGAAGAAGCGAGGUGUUUAUUCACACGUGACGGUACCUGCAGAAAAAGCACCGGCUAACUACGUGCCAGCAGCCGCCGUAACAC